ACGCUCGACACCUACGGGGAGGCAGCAGUGGGGAAUAUUGCACAAUGGGGGAAACCCUGAUGCAGCGACGCCGCGUGAAGGAAGAAGUAUCUCGGUAUGUAAACUUCUAUCAGCAGGGAAGAAAAUGACGGUACCUGACUAAGAAGCCCCGGCUAACUACGUGCAAGCAGCCGCGGUAAUCUGAGCGGGCUGGCAAGGC
rnacentral:rRNA from 1 species